UACUAUGGCCAGAGGAGCAGCCCUCCU
rnacentral:piRNA from 1 species